rnacentral:misc_RNA from 1 species
CAUUCGAAUCAUUUAUUCCCGAGUAUUCAUAUUGUUAACAUAAUAAAUAACGCAAUAAUUAUGUUACGAUAUACGUUGCUAAUGCUUUUAUAUAUAACAACAUGUGGUCUCGCGUUGGAAUCAUCAAUUACAACUGAUACAGCGGUCAACUUGCCAGAUAUUUUUACAGCUCCAGGUAAAUUAUUAUCAGGUUUGAAUGGAAACUUGUCUCCAGCACAGCAAAUUAUUUAUAUUUAUGGACCGAACCAAUGGAAAAUGCAAAAUAAUGUCAAUCUCAUAGAAAAAGCAGGCAACGAUUACCUUAUUACACCUGGCAUAGGUGCUCAUAAACUUCAUAUUCGCCAGUUGUCAUGGAACAAGGCUCGUAGAAUUUGCAUUCAAGAAGGGGGUCACUUGGCUAUUAUCAACUCUAACUCGGAAGAAAAAAUAUUAAUACGCAUUUUGGAAGAAAAUAAAGUAUCUGAAGCAUGGCUUGGUAUACAUGAUCUUUUCGAAGAGGGCGAUUGGAACACGGUUAUGGACGAAAGCUUAGAAGCUACCGGUUUUUCAAAAUGGACUACGACAUUGGAUAUUAAUGUGCCUGAUAAUUCCAACGACGGACAGCAUUGCGGAGUUUUAAUGACUAAUGGUGGAAUGAAUGAUCGCGAAUGCUAUCAUGCAAAAGCCUUUUUCUGCGAGAUUACCUUCUGAAUCAUACUAAAACUCGGUAAAUCACGAACGCAAGAUUGUAAUCGAACACUGCAAUGAUACGUGAUCUAUCAAAGGUUAUAAUUAAAUGAGAUAAUCCAAAAGUGCGUUAUUAAAAUGGAAUUAACAACGUUAAUAACAACGCAAACAUGCGAUAUCAUGAUUAAAUAAGACGGACCACCUUAUAGGCACUUUCAGCCGUCCUAUUGAUUUUCCUGUGGAAGCGCACGCGCUACUCUGUUCCCGAUUGCGA